rnacentral:lncRNA from 1 species
GUAAUUCUCGAGCGAGACCUCAACUGGCUCGGAGGCUACUAUCGGGUUUACAAAUACGGGAGCCCAAGUAUACGAGUAGCCCAUCAAUGACAGUAGCACGUACAGGACACGAACCAUCAGACUAUGGACGGGGGGCUCACUAGCGGCCCAACGGAGACAAGGAGGGUGGCAUGGGACCGCACUAAGUCCUAACAGUCGUAUACCAGGCGAUUGUCGACCGCCAGCACUCUGCCGAAGACAAGGAGUACAGUCGGCUACCAUCAGUCUG